rnacentral:tRNA from 1 species
GGGGCUGUAGCUCAGCUGGGAGAGCGUUCGGUUCGCAUCCGAAAGGUCGAGGGUUCGAAUCCCUUCAGCUCCACAA